rnacentral:misc_RNA from 1 species
GAUGAAGAACGUAGCGAAAUGCGAUAAGUAAUGUGAAUUGCAGAAUCCAGUGAAUCAUCGAAUCUUUGAACGCACAUUGCGCCCGCCAGCAUUCUGGCGGGCAUGCCUGUUCGAGCGUCAUUUCGACCCUCGACCUCCCUUUGGGGAAGUCGGCGUUGGGGACCGGCAGCACACCGCCGGCCCUGAAAUGGAGUGGCGGCCCGUCCGCGGCGACCUCUGCGUAGUAAUCCAACUCGCACCGGAACCCCGACGCGGCCACGCCGUAAAACACCCAACUUCUGAACGUUGACCUCGAAUCAGGUAGGACUACCCGCUGAACUUAAGCAUAUCAAUAAGCGGAGGA